GACGAACGCUGGCGGCGUGCCUAAUACAUGCAAGUAGAACGCUGAAGGAGGAGCUUGCUUCUCUUGAUGAGUUGCGAACGGGUGAGUAACGCGUAUGUAACCUGCCUGUUAGCGGGGGAUAACUAUUGGAAACGCUAGCUAAUACCGCAUAAUAUUUACUAUUGCAUGAUAUUCAGUUGAAAGGUGCAACUGCACCACUACCAGAUGGACCUGCGUUGUAUUAGUUAGUUGGUGGUGUAACGGCUCAACAAGGCGACGAUACAUAGCCGACCCGGGAGGGGUGACGGCCACCACGGGAACGGGACCCGGCUCCGGACCCUACGGGAGGCAGCCAGAGGGAAUCUUCGGCAAUGGACGGAAGUCCGAACGGGGAACGCCGCGUGAGUGAAGAAGGGUCUCGGAUCGGAAAGAUCCGUUGUAAGAGAAGAACGAGUGUGGGAGUGGAAAGCUCACACUGUGACGGUAUCUAAUCAGAAAGCGACGGCUAACUACGUG
rnacentral:rRNA from 1 species